rnacentral:rRNA from 1 species
AACGAACGCUGGCGGCAUGCCUAACACAUGCAAGUCGAACGAGGCCCUUCGGGGUUUAGUGGCGCACGGGUGCGUAACGCGUGGGAAUCUGCCCUUAGGUUCGGAAUAACAGCUGGAAACGGCUGCUAAUACCGGAUGAUAUCGCGAGAUCAAAGAUUUAUCGCCUGAGGAUGAGCCCGCGUUGGAUUAGGUAGUUGGUGGGGUAAAGGCCUACCAAGCCGACGAUCCAUAGCUGGUCUGAGAGGAUGAUCAGCCACACUGGGACUGAGACACGGCCCAGACGCCCACGGGAGGCAGCAGUGGGGAAUAUUGGACAAUGGGCGCAAGCCUGAUCCAGCAAUGCCGCGUGAGUGAUGAAGGCCCUAGGGUUGUAAAGCUCUUUUACCCGGGAAGAUAAUGACUGUACCGGGAGAAUAAGCCCCGGCUAACUCCGUGCCAGCAGCCGCAGUAA